CGCAAGCUUGAAGACACAGACAGACUGAAGAGAAAAGUGGGACCGGGGGGCUCAAGACCUCUCGGAUCAAGAGCCCUGCUGACUCAUCCCAGGUUGCUUUUAUUGAGUUCGUGGGCUAACAUUCUCAGGUUACACUCAUAAACAAUCAAGGGCCUCACAUGACUGAGGCAAUUAUCUUUGUUUACUUCCUGGGUCCUAGUUGAGCAGGUGUGGAUUUGAGCUGGGGGUGGAGAGCAAAACAGCCCUGGGGGCAGGAGACCUCUCUCAGAUAUUGGGGGUCUGUGCCCCACCCGUGUUGGCCCCUCUGCGACUGUGCCUGUCUUAGGUUGUUCCUCCCUUGAGGAAUCUUACCCGUCUCUGGCUAACCAGUCAUCCUCCAGGGCCAAACACGGUGAUAUAAGGAAGGCUCUAUGCACCACCCCUGUUGGCCCCUCUGCGGCUGUGCCUGUCUUAGGUUGUUCCUCCUCUGAGGAAUCUUACCCAUCUUUGGCUAACCAGCCAUCCUUCAGGACCAAACAGGGUGAUAUUAGUCUCCACGCCCCGCACCCUCAGUUCCUCCACUGCUCAAGCAGGACAUUCUGAAUCCCAUCGCUCGGCCCACAUACUUCAACAUUUUCAAGGUUUCAGAAAGGUUCCCGAAUGUCUUCCCACACAUAGGUAUGUGGGUCUAUUUCUGGGCUCUCCAUUCUGUUCCAUUGAUCUACGUGUCUGUUUUUGUCCCAUCACCAUGCUGUUUUGAUGAAUGUAACUUCAUAGUAUAUAUAGUUUGAAGAGAAGGAGCAUGAUACCUCCAAAUUUGUUCUUCUUUCUCAAGAUUAUUUUGGCAAUUCUUUUGGGGUCUUUUUUGUUGCCAUAUAAAUUUUAGGAUUAUUUUUCUAGUUCUGAAAAAAAUGUCAUGGAUAUUGUGAUAGGGAUUGCAUUAAAUCUGUAGAUUACCUUGGUAUGACCAUUUUAACAAGAUUAAUUCUUCCAAUCCAAGAACAUGGGAUAUCUUUCCAUUUCUUGGGGUCAGCUUGAAUUUCUGUCAUCAGUGUUCUAUAGUUUUCAGAGCACAGGUCUUUCACCUACUUGGUUAAGUUUAUUCCUAGGUGUUUUAUUCUUUUAUGGUGUGACUUUAAAUGGGAUUUUUUUUUUUUGGCUGUCUCUUUCUGAUAGUUCAUUAUUAGUGUAUAGUGUGGUGUUUUUUAUGUUGUGAAAUAUUCUUUCUAUACCAACAUUGAUGAGAGUUUUUUUUUUAUCACUAAUGGAUGUUGGACUUUGAAAAUACUUUUUCUGUAUCUUUUGUGAUGAUCAUUUGAUUUUUAUCCUUCCUUUCAUUAAUGUGGUGCAUCACAUUGUUUGAUUUGUGAAUACUGAACCAUCCUUGCAUCUCCGAAAUGGAUCCCACUUAUCAUGGUGUAUAAUCCUUUGUAUAUAUUGUUGAUUGCAUUUGCUAAUAUUGUGUUGAGAAUUUUUUAAUCUAUAUUUAUAGAAAAUAUUGUCCUGUAAUUUUCUUUUUUGUACUGUCUUUGUCUGGUUUGGCAUUAGGGUGAUGGUGGCCAUGUAGAAUGAAAUUGGGAGUGUUUUGUCCUCUUCAGUGUUUUGGAAUAGUUUGAGGAUAGGUAUUAGUUGUUCUCUGUAUGUUUGGUGGAAUUCCCCUGCAAAGUCAUCCAGUCCUGGACUUUUGUUUGCUGGGAGAUUUUUUAAAUUACACUAUGUCAAGACUGAAUCAGGAAGAAAAAGACAACUUAAGAAGACCAAUCACUAUUAGUGAAAUUGAAUUUGUAUGUUUCUAAACAUUUGUCUAUUAUUUCUAGGUUGUCCAAUUUAUUGGAAUAUAACUGUAGUAGUUCAUUAUUAUUUUUUGUAUCCUUGUGGUAUUGGUUGUUAUUUCUCCUCUUUCAUUAUUUAUUUUGUUUAUAUGGGGCCUCUCUCUUUUCAUCUUGAUGAGCCUGGCUACAGGUUAUUCAAUUUUGUUAUUCAAUCUUUAAAAAAAAAAAUCAGUUCUUGGUUUCAUUGAUCUUUUCAGUCAUUUUUUGAUCUCUUAUUAAUUUCCUCUCUGAUCUUUAUUAUUUCCUUUCUUCUGCUGACAUUGGGCUUUGUUUGUUAUUCUUUUCUAAUUCCUUUAUGUUAGGUUGUUUGUAUGAGAUUUUACUCAUUUCUUGAGGGAGGACUUCACCACUGUAAACUUCCCUCUUAGAAUUGCUUUGUAAAGAGAUCUUUGGGAUUAUGGCAGGUGUAUCAACAUUCACAUUAUGAGGGUUCCACAAGGAGAUGAGCCAGAGAAUUGAUUCAAAAGGUAUUUGAUAAAUCUGUAGGGACUUCCCUGGUGGUCCAGUGGCUAAGACUCUGUGCUCCCAAAGGAGGGGGCGUAGGUUCAGUCCCUGGUCAGGGAACUAGAUCCCACAUGCCGCAGCUAAGAGUUUGCAUGCUGCAACUAAAGAUCCUGCAUUCAGCAACUAAGACCACGUGCAGCCAAAUUAAAACAAAACAAAACAAAACAAAAAACUGUGGCUGAAAACUUCCAGAAUGUGGAGAAGGAAACAGAUAUCCAGAUAUAGGAAGCACAGAGGGUCCUGAAGAGGAUGAACCUAAACAGACUCAGAGCAAGACAUUGUAUAAUUAAAAUGGCAAAAGCUAAAGAGAAAGAAUUCUCAAAGCUGCAAGAGAAAAACAAAGAGUCAUAUACAAGGGAAUCCGCAUAAAGAUAUCAGCUGAUUUUUUCUGCAGAAACUUGCAGGGCAGAAAGGAGUGGCAUACAUACAGAGUGCUUAAAAAGGAAAAACCUGCCUCCUAGGAUACUCUACAAGCAUGAUUACCAUUCAGAAUUGAAGGAGAGAUAAAGGACUUCCCACACAAGCAAAAACUAAAAGAGUUCAUCAAUACUACACCUACACUAAAAGAAAUGUUAAAGGGUAUUUUCUAAGUGGAAAAGAAGUAAGAAUCUAUAGGAAAGGAAAAAUCCCACUAACAAAGGAAAAUGUGUGGUGAGGGCUGAAGUAUAGCCAAUUUAAUAAGCUAGUACAGACAUUAAAAGCCAAAAAUUGUAAAAGCAACUAAACUACAAUAAACAGUUAAGGCAUAAACAUGAAGGUGAAAAUAUGACAUCAAAAACACAAAAUGUCGGUGAGGGGCAUAAAAAAUGUAGAUAUUUUACAAUGUGUUUUAACGUAAAUGACUACCAGUUCAAAACAAGUAGAUAUAGUUAUAAGUCAAUAUAUAUGACCCGCAUGGACGCCACAAAUCAAAAAUCUACAACAGAUACACAAAAGCUAAAGAGAAAGGUGCACAAGCAUACUACUAUAGAAAAUCAUCAAACCCACAAGGGAAAAAAACAAAAAGAAGAAAUGAAGAGAGAAACUACAAAAACCACCAUCAAGAAACAAGAAACAAGAUGGCAAUAAGUACAUAUUAUCAGUAAUUACUUUAAAUGUCAAUGGAAUGUUCCUUUCAAAAGACAAGGGGUGGCUGACUGGAUGAAAAAAACAAGACCUAUAUAUGUGCUGUGUACAACAGAUUAACUUCAGAGCUAAAGACACACAAAGACAAAAAAUGAGGGGAUGGAAAAUGGUAUUUUUUAUAGAAACAGAAACAACCAGGAAAGUGGGGGUAGCAAUAGUCAUAUAAGACAUGAUAGACUUUAAAAGAAACGCUAUGACAAAAGACAAAAAGUACAUUUUAUAAUGAUAAAGGGUUCAAUACAAGAAGAGGAUAUUAUAUUCAUUAACAUAUAUGCACCCAGGACAGGGAACCUAAAUUUAAAAUAAAAAAUAUUGACAGACAUGAAGAGAAAAAUUGACAAUAAUACAAUAAUAAUAGGGGACUUUAACACCUCAUCAAUGGACAAAUCAACCAAAAAUAAAAUCAAUAAGGCAACAGUGGUCUCAAAUGAGAAAAUACACCAGUUGGACACAACAGAUAUCUACAGCACAUUCCAUUCCAAAACAGCAGAACAUGUCCUUCUCAAGUACACAUGGAAUGUUUUAUAGGAUAAAUCACAUGCUAGGCCAGAAAACAAGUCUCAACAAAUUUAAAAGGACAGAAAUUAUAUUAUUAAUUUUUCUAUGUGUAUUUUAAACCCCACAAUAUGUUAUUUGUAAAUAUUUAUAUUUAUAUACAUACUUAACCUUUUUCAUUAUAUUCCAUUUCUUCCUUCCUUUCCAUGUUUCCACCUUGAGCCAUCAUCAUUCUGCGUGAAGAACACCCUAGUUUUUCUUUUAUUGCAGUGUUCCAUUGCCUUUUGCUACAUAACAAAUAAUUCUAUGGACAGACUGCAUUUUCCAAAGAUGAUUGCAACAAAUAACUCCCAUCUCACAUGCCCUCCUAGAAACUUGCCACUCCUCUAUCAGGUGAUAAUCUGUACCCAAUUUCCUUGCACCUGAGGUCUUUGUGUCUGCUUCAACCAGUAGAGUACAGCUAAAGUGAUGAUAUAUGACUUCCAAAGCUAGGUCAUAAAAAGGCCAUGUAUUUCUGCCUUCCUCUCUUGGACCAUUCAUUUUUGAAACACAGAUAUCAUGUUGUGAGGAAGCUCAAGCAGCCUGUGGAGAAAUCUAUAUGCAUAGGAAUCACUACUGGCUUUAGGACUAGGUCGCAGGUAAAGUUGGGGGGGCUCCAGGGAGACCACUAGUGAAAGCCUAAAGGGACUCUCAAAGGCCAUUAUUGAUGGCCUAAAGGAAAGGAAAAUAAAUUUUUUGAAAGCUAGAGGCAAUACUGACCCUUGCAGUAAUGUGAAGAAGGGAAAAUAUACCUAACAAAUUCAAUGAUCUAGCUAAAGUGAUUUCCCAGCAGAGUACAGAUGGUGUCACCUGGCUUCUUCUUGCUGCCUAUGGCAAAAUUUACAAGAGGAAGCAGUGAGCUGAAGAAUGAACUGCUAUCAACAAAGACCUACUGUAUAGCACAGGGAACUCUACUCCAUAUUCAUAAUAACCUACAUGGGGAAAUAAUCUGAAAAAAUGUAUAUGCAUACCUGAAUCACUUUGCUGUACACCUGAAACUAACACAACAAUGUAAAUUAACUAUACUCCAGUAUAAAGUAAAAAUUUAAAAAAAAGAAUGAACUGCUAAAUAGGAAGCAACCAGGACUUGCCAAGUUUGACAGUAAUACUGUUUCUCCUUUCCAGCUUCUCCAGGUGGUAAAUUAUUCUGUAAUUAAGACAGGACCUCACAGAUCCUUUGUAAAAAAAAUUUCAGAAUUACCAAAGUCCCUCUAAACAUUUUAAAUUGUACCCAACAGAUCCUGUCUGUUAAAUAAUAGAAUUUACGGGAGUCUUACAGAUGUUUUCCUGCAGCAUCUGCUCAAGGAACUCCAGAUAGAGACGUUCUUAUCUCAGACAGAUUGUAGUGGUAUAGUGUCUGAUGUAAUGAACCCCACUAAUAUUUUUAGAAAACUCACAUAGUUCUUAAGAGAAUGGUUCUGGUGGAAGCACAAUGACUUUGAAGAGAGAGAAUGCAAAAUAAAAACAACUUUUGGAUGCCUCAUCUUUUUCAUCCAGGAAGCAGAUCCAGGAGGCUUUUUUGCUAAUUUAAUCUUCUUAUGUGAAAUAUAGGUUUCAGUUCAGAGGGUCGAACUCAGAGCAAUAGAGAAUAACUCACAGAGUAAACUGAGCACCAAUGGAAGAAAUUGGCAACAUGUUUUCAGCUGGAUUUCAGAAUUGCUAGGGACCAGUGACGGUUGUGUGCCUCCUGUAUUGCCCAUUUUUGAACAGGAAUGCCUAAGAAUUACACUUAUCCCACCAUCGUAUUCUGGAUGUGUGUUUCUGUGUUUGUGGGGGGGUGGGGGGUGGGGGCAGUUGUUUCUUUAGUUCACAGAUCUUCAGAUUGAGAAGAAAAAUACUCAAGGAGCUAUACCCAAGGAACUAUAGCUGAGGAGCUUCACCUGCACCUAGACCUGAUAUAAAUGAUACAACCUUAGACUUGGAGCCUGCACAUGAUGCUAUAAUGGAAGGAGACUUUGCAGGGUAGGGGUGCUUGAAGGAGGGAUGACCAUAUUUUACAUGUGGGAAGAAUCAGAACCAUUGUGACUAGAAGGCAGAUUUUCCAAAGGUGGUUACAAUAUUUCUCAUUCCACCUGCUCUUCUAGAAUCUUUCCACUCUCCUUUGGAGAGGUGGACUCUAUGUUGUCCUUGAACUUGGUAGGUCUUUGUGAUUGCCUUGACCAGUAGUGUAUGGCAAGAGUGAUGCGAUGUAGAUUCCAAGACUAGGUAAAAAAUAUGCCAUGCCAUGCGGCCUUGCUACGUUGGGAUGCUCACUCUUGAAACCCAGCCCAAUUAGUCAUUGUAAAGGCCCACAUGGAGACAACUGAGACCCUGUGAACCCACAACCCUGCCUGAGAUCUUAGCUGACAGCCAAUACCAACUUGCCUGCCAUGUGAGUGAGAAAAAUGAAUGGUUAACAUUUUAAGCCACUAUGUUUUGGGAUGGUUCAUUACAUGGCAACAGAUAACUGUCAUGCUCCCCAAACGGACAUAGUCACAGAAAACAGUAUUUAUUCACAGAUCCACAAUUUGGACAGUGCUUGACUGGGACAACUCUUUGCUGCUCCAGGGCGUCUGAAGCCUUCACUGGGAAGAUUCAAAUGUCUGGGGGCUGGAAUCAUCUGGAGGUGUUUCCAGCCACAUACCUAGUACUCAGGCUGCGAUGACUCAACGGUCAAGCUCAUUUGGGACUAUCACAGAAAGUGCUUACAGCUGGCCUCUCCAUGUAUUGGGGGCUUUCUCACAGCAGCACAGCCUCAACGUUGUCAAACUUCUUAGGGUGGCUCAGGGCUCCAAGAGCAGGUGUUUCCAGCAAACAAAGUGGAAUCAUCUUCAUGGCCUUUAUGACCUACCGUCUGAAGUCAUAAAGUAUCAAUGCUACUGUACUCUACUAACUGAAGCGGUAAGAAACCCAUCCAGAUUUGAGGGGGGACAUAGAUCUCCCACCUCUUGGUGGCAGAAAUGUCAAAGCAUUUAUGUUAUAAAUUCUGUGUUAUAAAACUGCCACAAUUUUUCUGUGAUGUGUUAAAUAUGGUGUUCCUUGUAUUUAACUUGCUUGAGGCUUAUGGUUGUUAUGAACUGAAUGUGUCCCCUGAAAACUCAUAUGUUGAAAUCCGAAACCCCAAUGUCAUGGUAUUUGAAGGUAGAACUGGACUUCCCUGGUAGCCCACGUGGUAAAGAAUCUGCCUUCCAAUGCAGGGUACGUGGAUUCAACCCCUGGUCCAGGAACUAACAUCCCCCAUGCUGCGGGGAAGUAAGCCCACGGGCCACAACUACAGAGCCCACUCACUCUGGAGCUGGUGGGCCACAACUACAGAGUCCACACGCUCUGGAGCCUGUGUGCCACAACUAGAGAGAAAACCCACAGGUCACAACUAGAGAGAAGCCCGCACAACAUGACGAAGAGCCCAUGCGGCAGCAAAAGAUCCUGCAUGCCGCAACAAAGAUCCCACGUGCUGCAACUAAGACUCGACACAGACAAAAAACAAAGGUGAGGACACAGGUAGAAGGCAGCCAUCUGUAAGCCAGAAGAGGCCCUCACCAGGAACUGAAUCUGCCAGAACCCUGAUCUUGGACUUCCCAGCCUCCAGAACUGUGACAAAUAAAUGUCUGUUGUUUAAGUCGCCCCGUCUAUGGUGUUUUGUUAUAGAAGCCUGAGCUAACACAUAG